UACGGAGGGUGCGACCGUUAAUCGGAAUCACUGGGCGUAAAGCGCGCGUAGGCGGUUUGUUAAGUGGGAUGUGAAAUCCCCGGGCUUAACCUGGGAAUUGCAUUUCAAACUGGCCGACUAGAGUACGGUAGAGGGAGGUAGAAUUUCCUGUGUAGCGGUGAAAUGCGUAGAUAUAGGAAGGAAUACCAGUGGCGAAGGCGGCCUCCUGGAUCGAUACUGACGCUGAGGCGCGAAAGCGUGGGGAGCAAACAGG
rnacentral:rRNA from 1 species